GUUGAAUUUUACGUUGUAAUUUACACAUGUGUUAGCAUAUGUCUAAGUUAAGAAAAAUUGUAACACGUUGUGUUAUGGACGAGUUAAUUUACCACAUUGUAUCCCUAGACGCUAUUGUGGUUACCAUAUGUUUUUUGUUACUGGGUCAAAUGAGUACUUUUUAAUUUUUCUUUUUUGAUGUUAAAGUCCGUCUAUAUCUACAUAAUGUGCCUCUCAAA
rnacentral:lncRNA from 1 species